rnacentral:rRNA from 1 species
GCCGGUACGAUGUCGAUUUGGAGGUUGUGCCCUUGAGGCGUGGCUUCCGAAGCUAACGCGUUAAAUCGACCGCCUGGGGAGUACGGCCGCAAGGUUAAAACUCAAAUGAAUUGACGGGGGCCCGCACAAGCGGUGGAGCAUGUGGUUUAAUUCGAUGCAACGCGAAGAACCUUACCUACUCUUGACAUCCAGCGAAUCCUGUAGAGAUACGGGAGUGCCUUCGGGAACGCUGAGACAGGUGCUGCAUGGCUGUCGUCAGCUCGUGUUGUGAAAUGUUGGGUUAAGUCCCGCAACGAGCGCAACCCUUAUCCUUUGUUGCCAGCGGUUCGGCCGGGAACUCAAAGGAGACUGCCAGUGAUAAACUGGAGGAAGGUGGGGAUGACGUCAAGUCAUCAUGGCCCUUACGAGUAGGGCUACACACGUGCUACAAUGGCGUAUACAAAGAGAAGCGAACUCGCGAGAGCAAGCGGACCUCAUAAAGUACGUCGUAGUCCGGAUUGGAGUCUGCAACUCGACUCCAUGAAGUCGGAAUCGCUAGUAAUCGUGGAUCAGAAUGCCACGGUGAAUACGUUCCCGGGCCUUGUACACACCGCCCGUCACACCAUGGGAGUGGGUUGCAAAAGAAGUAGGUAGCUUAACC